rnacentral:rRNA from 1 species
GACGAACGCUGGCGGCGUGCUUAACACAUGCAAGUCGAACGGAAAGGCCCUGCUUUUGUGGGGUGCUCGAGUGGCGAACGGGUGAGUAACACGUGAGUAACCUGCCCUUGACUUUGGGAUAACUUCAGGAAACUGGGGCUAAUACCGGAUAGGAGCUCCUGCUGCAUGGUGGGGGUUGGAAAGUUUCGGCGGUUGGGGAUGGACUCGCGGCUUAUCAGCUUGUUGGUGGGGUAGUGGCUUACCAAGGCUUUGACGGGUAGCCGGCCUGAGAGGGUGACCGGCCACAUUGGGACUGAGAUACGGCCCAGACUCCUACGGGAGGCAGCAGUGGGGAAUAUUGCACAAUGGGCGGAAGCCUGAUGCAGCAACGCCGCGUGCGGGAUGACGGCCUUCGGGUUGUAAACCGCUUUCGCCUGUGACGAAGCGUGAGUGACGGUAAUGGGUAAAGAAGCACCGGCUAACUACGUGCCAGCAGCCGCGGUGAUACGUAGGGUGCGAGCGUUGUCCGGAUUUAUUGGGCGUAAAGGGCUCGUAGGUGGUUGAUCGCGUCGGAAGUGUAAUCUUGGGGCUUAACCCUGAGCGUGCUUUCGAUACGGGUUGACUUGAGGAAGGUAGGGGAGAAUGGAAUUCCUGGUGGGGCGGUGGAAUGCGCAGAUAUCAGGAGGAACACCAGUGGCGAAGGCGGUUCUCUGGGCCUUUCCUGACGCUGAGGAGCGAAAGCGUGGGGAGCGAACAGGCUUAGAUACCCUGGUAGUCCACGCUGUAAACGGUGGGUACUAGGUGUGGGGUCCAUUCCACGGGUUCCGUGCCGUAGCUAACGCUUUAAGUACCCCGCCUGGGGAGUACGGCCGCAAGGCUAAAACUCAAAGGAAUUGACGGGGCCCCGCACAAGCGGCGGAGCAUGCGGAUUAAUUCGAUGCAACGCGUAGAACCUUACCUGGGUUUGACAUGGAUCGGGAGCGCUCAGAGAUGGGUGUGCCUCUUUUGGGGUCGGUUCACAGGUGGUGCAUGGCUGUCGUCAGCUCGUGUCGUGAGAUGUUGGGUUAAGUCCCGCAACGAGCGCAACCCUUGUUCACUGUUGCCAGCACGUUAUGGUGGGGACUCAGUGGAGACCGCCGGGGUCAACUCGGAGGAAGGUGGGGAUGACGUCAAGUCAUCAUGCCCCUUAUGUCCAGGGCUUCACGCAUGCUACAAUGGCUGGUACAGAGAGUGGCGAGCCUGUGAGGGUGAGCGAAUCUCGGAAAGCCGGUCUCAGUUCGGAUUGGGGUCUGCAACUCGACCUCAUGAAGUCGGAGUCGCUAGUAAUCGCAGAUCAGCAACGCUGCGGUGAAUACGUUCCCGGGGCU